UACGUAGGGAGCAAGCGUUGUCCGGAAUCAUUGGGCGUAAAGCGCGCGUAGGUGGCCCGGUAAGUCCGCUCUGAAAGUCACAGGCUCAACCUGUGAAAGCGGGUGGAUACUGCCGGGCUAGAGUCCGGAAGAGGCGAGUGGAAUUCCUGGUGUAGCGGUGAAAUGCGCAGAUAUCAGGAGGAACACCGAUGGCGAAGGCAGGUCGCUGGGCCGCAACUGACGCUGAGGAGCGAAAGCAUGGGGAGCGAACAGG
rnacentral:rRNA from 1 species